rfam:Ciona savignyi cont_48972, whole genome shotgun sequence.
GUCGUCGUGGCCGAGUGGUUAAGGCGACAGACUUGAAAUCUGUUGGGCUGUGCCCGCACAGGUUCGAAUCCUGUCGGCGACG